rnacentral:rRNA from 1 species
UACGUAGGGUGCGAGCGUUAAUCGGAAUUACUGGGCGUAAAGCGUGCGCAGGCGGUUAUAUAAGACAGAUGUGAAAUCCCCGGGCUCAACCUGGGAACUGCGCUUGUGACUGGAAGACUAGAGUAUGGCAGAGGGGGGUGGAAUUCCACGUGUAGCGGUGAAAUGCGUAAAUACCUGGAGGAACACCGGUGGCGAAGGCGGCCUUCUGGCCCGGAACUGACGCUCAGGCACGAAAGCUAGGGGAGCG